rnacentral:rRNA from 1 species
CCCCAAGGCGCUAACGAAAGUGAAAAAGGCCACCGAAGCUCCGUUCGCGGGGCCUAGGGGUCGUUGGGUCGAUCCGUGCUCCCUCCGGGGACCGGCGCAGACCCGGGGCUCGCCGCUACCUCUUUCGUUUCCCUUCACGGGGAUUCGUGGCGGACGGCGGGCACCUUGAGCGUACAUGCUAGUACCCGAAAGAUGGUGAUCUAUGCCUGGCCAGGAUGAAGCCAGAGGAAACUCUGGUGGAGGUCCGUAGCGAUUCUGACGUGCAAAUCGAUCGUCAGAGCUGGGUAUAGGGGC